rnacentral:lncRNA from 1 species
UUAUUUUUUAAUUUUUUUAAGUGCGACCAAUAUUUUGUCAUGCAAACUCGUAUCCUUCAUCGCGCAAAGUGAUACGGUUUCUAAAACCAAAAUAACUCAUCGACAAUUUUCUCAAUGUCUUUCUCUAUUCUCUUACCUCUCAUCUCCUUCCCUCUCCUCAAAUCCGACCCUCUCUCUCACACUCACUCCUCUCACUUAAUCUCUCUUCUCUCUCUCUUUCUUCUCUAUCUCUCACUCUCACUCACUCUCUCUUCUCUAUCUCUCACUCUUACUCACUCUCUCAACUCUCUUUCACUCUCUCCUCUAACUCUCUAACACUCACUCCUCUCUCUCAUUCUCACUCACUCUCAAUCUUGCCAAAAUGUAUUUUCUCCCCAAAUUUUAAUUUUUUUUCAUUAAUACGUGUUUUUGGAGUUAAUUAAUUGGGUUUGGUGUGCGGUGGAGUUUGGGGUAUGCCAAUUUUAUGGGAGAUUAUGCCCAUUUUUUGGUACUAUUUUAUGUUGUUUUUUGGUUAUUUGACCAUAUUUGUUUUGUUCGUAGGGAAUCGUCGAGACUUUGAUGGCGAAAGUUGAGGAUUAGUACGCUAUAGGACCAUAUCCCCUGCCACUACCACCACAUUAGACUUGUACUAGGAUUUUAUUAUUGUACUUUGUUAAUUUAUGUGUACAUUUUUAAUAUAAUAUAUAUUAUGGAUAAUUUCAUCACUAUUUUUCAUACGUAAUUUUAUUUUGAAUAUGUCAAUUUAAAUUAAAUUAAUUAAAAAAUAUAUAUACAAUUAAAUUAAAUUCAAAAAGUAAAAAUUCAAAAAAUCUUGCGCUACCAAAUAUUUCGUCGUGCAAACAAUUACUAUAAUUAAAUUAAAAUUAAGAGAAAUGAUAAAACAAAAAUAAAAUACUUUGUGCAACAAAAUAUUUCGUCUUGCAAACAAUUAAUUUCGUCUCGCAAAAUAUUAAAUUAAUUUAAUUAAAUAAAAAUAAAAUCAAAAACUUUGCGCGAUGAAUAUUUAUCUUCGUCAUGCAAACCUUAUCAUAAUGAGCUUUGUGGGACAAAAAUAUCGUCUCACAAGGUUUUGAGUGUAACAUCCCACAUCGCCAAGGGAGUGAUCCUUAAAUGUAUAUUCCCAUUCUCUACCCAGCACAAGACCUUUUGGGAGCUCACUGGCUUCGGGUUCUGUUGGAACUCCGAAGUUAAGCGAGAAGGUGGCCAGAGCACUCCCAUGAUGGGUGAACCACUGGGAAGUUGCUCGUGAGUUCCCAGAAACAAAACCGUGAGGGCGUGGUCAGGGUCUAAAGCGGACAAUAUCGUGUUACGGUAGUAGAACGGGCCCUGGAAGUGAUCCGCCCCAGGCCGGGAUGUGACAAUUGGUAUCAGAGCCUAACCCUGGCCGUGGUGUGCCGACGAGGACGUCGGGCCCCCUAAGGGGGUGGACUAUAACAUCCCACAUCGCCCAGGGGAGUGAUCCUUAAAUGUAUAUUCUCAUCCCUACCUAGCACAAGGCAUUUUGGGAGCUCACUGGCUUCGGUUUCCGUUGGAACUCCGAAGUUA